rnacentral:antisense_RNA from 1 species
CCCUGGAGGGCCACCCAAGGAAAGAGUUCGUUCCAAAGACAGGUGCUCCUCUGAGUUCCUCUGGAAUCUGGCAAGGCGCCGAGCUUGGACGCAAGGCUUCCAUGAGGCUGUGAAGGAGGCUGCAUGGAAACCGGUGGGGACCUGAAAAGCUUUUAGUGGCCUCGCCACAUACAGCACUUUAGAUGCUCAGGUGACGAGCAACAUUUUCCAAGCCCAGCUAGUGAGCACCCCACCUGCUCUGGCUUCCAGAACCUGGUGUGGAGGGCCGGGGGAGGCUUCGGGACUGAAGAGCAGAGCAGCAGACUCCGGGGCUCAUGUAGGAACAUGCCUUCAGCCAAAGAUUAUCCAUGCUGCAUGGAGACUCUUGCUAAAUAUCACUGGUAAAUGCACAAUUAUGUCCCAUUUAGAAGAUCUCUAGCAGAGUGUCUUGUGUUUGAUGGAUUUGUCCUGCAUUUAAUUAUAACUUCCUGCUAAAGCUCAGAUGUUUUCUUUCAGGGACAAAUGCAGUGGCUUAAUUUCAUUCAAGCAUUUACUGAGGAUUUGAAACGCAUGCGGUUAGUGGUGAGAAUGCUGACUUGGGGCUGUCCCUUCAUCUGGAGUUGCCAGCCGACUGCGCAGGAAGAGAAGGUGAAUGUCAAACACACAGGUCAACAUCAGAAACAGCACUUCUGCCUUCCAAUGGCCCCGAUGUUUCAUGGAGGCCCCGAGGAGGCUGCGAAGGAACAUGGCAGUGACUGCUCCGUGGCUCUGCCUGGUGGCCAGCAACUGUUUGGGCAUUAUGACCAUGUACGUUUGACAAAGUGCAUGCAAUUAUUUGAAUAUUCUAUAGUUAUUUUAGGAAACUGAGUAGAAACAGGGAAAAUUAAAAGUGCUGAUGUUAGUAAUAGGAAACAUGGAUCUCA